UACGUAGGGUGCAAGCGUUGUCCGGAAUUAUUGGGCGUAAAGAGCUCGUAGGCGGUCUGUCGCGUCUGCUGUGAAAACUCGGGGCUUAACCCCGGGCCUGCAGUGGGUACGGGCAGACUAGAGUGCGGUAGGGGAGACUGGAAUUCCUGGUGUAGCGGUGAAAUGCGCAGAUAUCAGGAGGAACACCGGUGGCGAAGGCGGCAUCCUGGACCGGCAUUGACGCUGAGGCGCGAAAGCUAGGGGAGCAAACGGG
rnacentral:rRNA from 1 species